GGGCGUGGCCUAGCGGGAAGGCACCUCCUUUGCAAGGAGGGGAUCGUCGGUUCAGAAUCCGACCGGGUCCA
rnacentral:tRNA from 1 species